rnacentral:lncRNA from 1 species
CAGGCGUGCAGGGCCUUGGCUACUGCGCUAGGUCUGCUGAUGGCCACAAGCCUUUAGUCCCAGCUCUGCCUUAGCAAUGGGGGUGUCUGAAGGCUCAGGGGAUACACAGGUCCUCUAGGUUCCUGGGGAGAUGAUGAGUGAGAGUUUCGACCAGGAGUGGAUACUGAGGAGAGCAAAGAUCACCUGGUGCUCAUCAAGCCGGACUUCCAGAGGCAAAGCUCCUUAACUGAAGAAUUCAGAAGUAAU